rnacentral:rRNA from 1 species
UACGUAGGGACCAAGCGUUGUUCGGAUUUACUGGGCGUAAAGGGCGCGUAGGCGGCAAUUCAAGUCAUCUGUGAAAUCUCCGAGCUUAACUCGGAACGGUCAGAUGAUACUGCUUUGCUAGAGUGCAGAAGGGGCAACCGGAAUUCUUGGUGUAGCGGUGAAAUGCGUAGAUAUCUGGAGGAACACCGGUGGCGAAGGCGGCAUCCUGGACCAACACUGACACUGAUGAGCGAAAGCCAGGGGAGCAAACGGG